rnacentral:lncRNA from 1 species
UUAUGAUUUUUGAUUAUUUCAAAUUUUAAUUACUUCAAGUUUUGGUUAUUUGGGUGCCGAUAAUGUUUGUCAAUUUGAUUUUUAAAAUUUUUUGAUUAUUUUUAUUUGGGUCAUUUUAGGUUUAAAUUAUUAAAUUUUUUCAGUUCGAGCCAUUAUGGCUUUGGAUUACUUUACAAAUCGGAUCAUUUUGGGUUCAAAAUAUUCACGUUUUAU